rnacentral:rRNA from 1 species
AGCCACUGCUAUGGGGGUCCGACUAAGCCAUGCGAGUCAUGGGGCGCCUUGCGCGCACCGGCGGACGGCUCAGUAACACGUCGGUAACCUACCCUCGGGAGGGGGAUAACCCCGGGAAACUGGGGCUAAUCCCCCAUAGGCCUGAGGUACUGGAAGGUCCUCAGGCCGAAAGGGACUCUGUCCGCCCGAGGAUGGGCCGGCGGCCGAUUAGGUAGUUGGUGGGGUAACGGCCCACCAAGCCGAAGAUCGAUACGGGCCAUGAGAGUGGGAGCCCGGAGAUGGACACUGAGACACGGGUCCAGGCCCUACGGGGCGCAGCAGGCGCGAAACCUCCGCAAUGCGGGCAACCGCGACGGGGGGACCCCCAGUGCCGUGGCAUCGCCACGGCUUUUCCGGAGUGUAAAGGGCUCCGGGAAUAAGGGCUGGGCAAGGCCGGUGGCAGCCGCCGCGGUAAUACCGGCGGCCCGAGUGGUGGCCGCUAUUAUUGGGCCUAAAGCGUCCGUAGCCGGGCCCGUAAGUCCCUGGCGAAAUCUCACGGCUCAACCGUGGGGCUUGCUGGGGAUACUGCGGGCCUUGGGACCGGGAGAGGCGGAGGGUACCCCUGGGGUAGGGGUGAAAUCCUGUAAUCCCAGGGGGACCGCCAGUGGCGAAGGCGCUCCGCUGGAACGGGUCCGACGGUGAGGGACGAAGGCCAGGGGAGCAAACCGGAUUAGAUACCCGGGUAGUCCUGGCUGUAAAGGAUGCGGGCUAGAUGUCGGGUGAGCUUCGUGCUCGCCCGGUGCCGAAGGGAAGCCGUUAAGCCCGCCGCCUGGGGAGUACGGCCGCAAGGCUGAAACUUAAAGGUAUUGGCGGGGGAGCACUACAAGGGGUGGAGCGUGCGGUUU